GCUGGAGUAGCAAAGUGGUUAAUGUGAUAGAUUUAGGAUUUAUUAUCGGGGGUUCAAAUCCUUUCUUCAGUU
rnacentral:tRNA from 1 species